CCUACGGGUGGCUGCAGUGAGGAAUAUUGGUCAAUGGGCGCAAGCCUGAACCAGCCAUCCCGCGUGAAGGAUGAAGGUCCUAUGGAUUGUAAACUUCUUUUAUACACCAAGAAAAACUCGAACGUGUUCGAGCCCGACGGUAGUGUAUGAAUAAGCAUCGGCUAACUCCGUGCCAGCAGCCGCGGUAAUACGGAGGAUGCAAGCGUUAUCCGGAUUCAUUGGGUUUAAAGGGUGCGUAGGCGGCUCUUUAAGUCAGUGGUGAAAUCCUGCCGCUUAACGGUAGAAUUGCCAUUGAUACUGAAGAGCUUGAGUACAGUUGAGGUAGGCGGAAUGUGUAGUGUAGCGGUGAAAUGCUUAGAUAUUACACAGAACACCGAUUGCGAAGGCAGCUUACUAAACUGUUACUGACGCUGAUGCACGAAAGCGUGGGGAGCGAACAGGAUUAGAUACCCCUGUAGUC
rnacentral:rRNA from 1 species